rnacentral:rRNA from 1 species
AGCCUGCCGCGUGUGUGAAGAAGGCCUUCGGGUUGUAAAGCACUUUCGUCGGGGAGGAAGGCGAUGAGGUUAAUAACCUUGUCGAUUGACGUUACCCGCAGAAGAAGCACCGGCUAACUCCGUGCCAGCAGCCGCGGUAAUACGGAGGGUGCAAGCGUUAAUCGGAAUUACUGGGCGUAAAGCGCACGCAGGCGGUCUGUCAAGUCGGAUGUGAAAUCCCCGGGCUCAACCUGGGAACUGCAUUCGAAACUGGCAGGCUUGAGUCUUGUAGAGGGGGGUAGAAUUCCAGGUGUAGCGGUGAAAUGCGUAGAGAUCUGGAGGAA